UUGCACCGAUCAUGAACUAUUAUUAUUUCACUUUAGCUGUAUCUAGAGUUUGCAAAAUGAGUGGGUCGGGCAGGUUGCGUAACGAGUAAUCAUGUGUUGUAUUUUGGUGUGGGUUGGGUUGAUUUGAAACACUUUGUUCAAACGCGUUGACCCAUAUACACUUAAAUGGGUCAAAACAGCCAUCAGGAGUUUCUGCUUUCGGGAAUAUUUAUAAUGUGUAUUUAUAAGUUUUAUUGAAAAAACAUGUUGAAUGCAUUGUCUUAUUCUAUGGGUCAAAAAAGAUUUGGGUCAAAAUGGUUAUCUUCUGCUACGGGUAUAACUGCUCAAUUACACAAAUUAACCUGUUAUUGCUGCAUGAUUAUUUGAACUUUGGCAAAUAAUGGACUCCACAAGGGAAGAAAGAGUUACUUAUCAAGGAUUACAUUGGUUACUAGAUUAUCAGAAGUGGAAAUUGUGAAACCAGCGACUCUUUCAUUAGAGAUUAUUUGGCAGGCUUCACAAGAAGUUGAGAGGCUCAGUAAACUGAAAGCAAGCCGAAUGAAAGAAGUAGUUACGAAGAGGUCUGAGUUGGAAGACAUAUGUUUGAAGACUCAUAUUGAGCCUGAUCCUGGUAGGCGGGCUCAUUGUUAGUAAAUCAUAGUAAGUUGUUUGUUAUGAAGUAAAAAAACAAAGAAGUAAUUCAUAUUCUUUGGCGCAGUGUGACACAUAUAUAUAUUGACUAUGAUUGUAGUUACUUGACUCAUAUAUAUUGACUGUGAUUUUAGUUA